GACGAACGCUGGCGGCGUGCUUAACACAUGCAAGUCGAGCGGAAAGGCCCUUUCGGGGGUACUCGAGCGGCGAACGGGUGAGUAACACGUGAGUAAUCUGCCCUUGGCUUUGGGAUAACUACCGGAAACGGUGGCUAAUACCGGAUACGACGUACUCAGGCAUCUGAUGUGCGUGGAAAAGUUUUUUCGGCCAGGGAUGUGCUCGCGGCCUAUCAGCUUGUUGGUGGGGUAAUGGCCUACCAAGGCUUCGACGGGUAGCCGGCCUGAGAGGUGACCGGCCACACUGGGACUGAGACAGGCCCAGACUCCUACGGGAGGCAGCAU
rnacentral:rRNA from 1 species